AUUGAACGCUAGCGGAAGGCUUAACACAUGCAAGUCGGGCGAGUGGCGGACGGGUGAGUAAUGUAUGGGAAUCUGCCCGCUGGCGGGGGAUAACUACUGGAAAGGGUGGCUAAUACCGCAUACUAUCAGAGCGGCACAUAUGGGAUUCGCUAGUGGGUGGGGUAAAGGCUCACCAAGGCGACGAUCCCUAGCUGGUUUGAGAGGACGACCAGCCACACUGGGACUGAGACACGGCCCAGCAUCCUACGGGAGGCAGCAGUGGGGAAUGUUGGACAAUGGGGGAAACCCGGAUGCAGCCAUGCGGCGUGUAUGAGAAGGCCUUCGGGUUGUAAAGUACUUUUGGCAGGGAGGCGGUAUCGGCAGAAUAAGCACCGGCUAACUACGUGCCAGCAGCCGCGGUAAUUC
rnacentral:rRNA from 1 species